rnacentral:rRNA from 1 species
GUCUACGGCCAUACCACCCUGAAUGCGCCCGAUCUCUUCUGAUCUCGGAAGCUAAGCAGGGUCGGGCCUGGUUAGUACUUGGAUGGGAGAUAUGUGGAUAAUGGGGAAU